AACCAGUAGCUACUACUGCUGAGUCAUUAUCAGUAGCUGCUGCUGAACCAUUAUCAGUAGCUGCUGUUGAACCAGUAGCUGAUGCUGCUAAACUGGUAGUUGAUGCUGCUAAACCAGUAGUAGCUGCUGCUAAACCAGUAGUAGCUGCUGUUGCUGCUGCUGCUGCUACUACUGCUGCUGCUGCUACUACUACUACUGCUGCUGCUGCUGCUGCUGCUGCUACUACUACUACUGCUGCUGCUGCUACUACUACUG